rnacentral:rRNA from 1 species
AGAGUUUGAUCAUGGCUCAGGAUGAACGCUGGCGGCGUGCCUAACACAUGCAAGUCGAACGAAGCACUUUAUUACGAUUUCUUCGGAAUGACGAUUUGGUGACUGAGUGGCGGACGGGUGAGUAACGCGUGGAUAACCUGCCCCAUACAGGGGGAUAACAGUUAGAAAUGACUGCUAAUACUGCAUAAGCGCACAGUAUCGCAUGAUACGGUGUGAAAAACUCCGG